rnacentral:piRNA from 1 species
GUCACUGGUAUGGAGGCUGUGUCCCUUCAAAA